CCUACGGGUGGCAGCAGUGAGGAAUAUUGGUCAAUGGGCGGGAGCCUGAACCAGCCAAGCCGCGUGAAGGAAGAAGGCGCCAGGCUUCGUAACCUUCUUUUGUCGGGUAACAAAUGGCGCCACGCAUGGCGUUAUGAGUGUACACGAAGAAAAAGCAUCGGCUAAUUCCGUGCCAGCAGCCGCGGUAAACCGGAGGCUGCGAGCGUUAUCCGGAUGUAUUGGGUUUAAAGGGUGCGUAGGCGGUCCGGAAAGUCAGAGGUAAAAGCCCGGGGCUCAACCCCGGCGUGCCGUUGAAACUGUGGGACUAGAGACGGCGAGAAGUACGCGGAAUGCGUGGUGUAGCGGUAAAAUGCGUAGAUAGCGCGCAGAAUUCUGAUUGCGAAGGCAGCGUACCGGAGCCGGACUGACGCUGAGGCACGAAAGCGUGGGUAUUGAACAGGAUUAGAUACCCCAGUAGUC
rnacentral:rRNA from 1 species